rnacentral:lncRNA from 1 species
CCGGAAGCGUGUGUAAGACCUGCGAGUGUGGGGGGGACCUCUGCCUGGUUUGUGACUUCUGCCAAGCUUUCUAGGUGGCCCUGGGUUCUUUCUGACUUCGGUCCUGUUGACGCACGGAAGUUAUUUGUGGUGGGCUUGUCAGUGAACUGAUGCAGAGUUUUCAGCAGCGAGCUCAUCCUGAGGAGAAUGGAGAAGCAUGGGGACGCACCUUCUAACUGGGAGUAUGAACGGACUGUGGGCUUUGGAGGACGGCUUGAAAGUAAGUGUGAUGAAAACUGGUAUUUGUUCACAUUUUUAAAUCAUGCACAAUAUAAGCAAUUUUACAGACAAGGAAUGUGUACAUCACAUUUCACUAACAGUAUCACAUACAACUUGAUGUGAAAAUGGUCUUUCGGAACCACGUAUACGUAACUGAAAUGUAGCUCUCGGUGUGUGCAUACACUUUGUUGCACAUCACUGUGUACUCAAUUCCUAAAUGCAAUUUCACUGAACAUGUCUACAAACCUGAGCACGGAACAAAAGUUGUACUUAUUUUUUAAUUUCAGAUAGGGUCUCACUGUGUAGUUCAGGUUGGCUUUGAAGUUACUCUAUUGCCAAGGCUGGCCUGGAUCUUCAGGCAAUUUUCCUGCUUCAGCCUCCAAAGUGCUACGAUGACAGGUAGCCGCAGGUAUCUAGCUGCUUGGUAUUGUUUUUUUUUUUUUUAACAUUACAUGAAAGAUGUCACUUUAGGCACAAUAUGAAGAACACCUACAUUUCAAAUACUGGACUCUUUUACAUACUCAGUUGGUGAGAUUAGAGAUAUUUAAUGUGUAUAGGGCGAGUGAGAAAGUUUCUGUGAUUAAAGAAGAUUGAAUAUGGCCUUGCUCGUGUAACUUUUAGAGGUUCGAUGUUUUGACAAAAAGGAUAGCAAUACACCUCAGCAGAACAAGUGCCUGCCUGGCAAGCACAAUGUCACAGUUUGAUUCCCGGUACCAAAAAAAAGAUUCUGACAGGAGAGGAACGUUUUUCAUUUUUCUCUGAG